CACUCUGACAGCUACGAGA
rnacentral:piRNA from 1 species